rnacentral:rRNA from 1 species
AUUGAACGCUGGCGGCAGGCCUAACACAUGCAAGUCGAGCGCUCGGCAGACGGGUGAGUAAUGUCUGUGAAACUGCCUGAUGGAGGGGGAUAACUACUGGAAACGGUAGCUAAUACCGCAUACCAUCAGAUGUGCCCAGAUGGGAGUAGCUGGUAGUUGGGGUAACGGCUCACCGAGGCGACGAUCCCUAGCUGGUCUGAGAGGAUGACCAGGCACAAUGGAACGGAGACACGGGUCAGACUCCUACGGGAGGCAGAAGUGGGGAAUAUUGGACAAUGGGCGCAAGCCUGAUGCAGCCAUGCCGCGUGUGUGAAGAAGGCCUUCGGGUUGUAAAGCACUUUCAGCGGGAAGGCGUUACCCGCAGAAGAAGCACCGGCUAACUCCGUGCCAGCAGCCGCGGUAAUAC